GGGCAAUUCCCACUCAGCUGGCUAUUUUCCCCAAAAUAGUAUAGGAGGGAUAUUUUUGACUGUCUUCCUUAUUAACUCAAAAAGUCCCUUCAGCCUCCUCCCUUAGGAAUUGAGUGAAAAGUUGGAUGUUGGAUGAAGAAUUUAUCUGAGAGGAAAUUUCUGGGGCUUGGGGAAUAUUCGACUGUGGAGUUCUGUUUCUGAGUUUCUCCGUGAACGCAGGAACAUCUUCACUGUUUUUUAGCGUAUGCUUUAUGCUUUCAAGUUUGGGGAACGUCCACGUCUUGGAUUUCAGCACAUAGUCACUUGUCAGUUGCCCACUUUGGUGAGAAGAUGAGUAGCAAUGAAUCAUCUCCUUCUUCUUUUUGGUGGAUAGCUGUAUAAUUUCUCCUGAAUUGGGCCUAUUGCUGAAAAGUCAGCUCACGUCCAUAUAUCAUCUCUCCUGUUUGGAAGCUGGACCAGAGAAGACAAUGGUUUCCCCUGUGCCAUCCAACUUCCCCACUCACCAUCUUGUUUCGGGGACCAUCCUGUGAAGGCACAGCAUAAACCUCGAAGAGGGAUGUUUCAAGCAUUAGUCAGGGAGCAAGGAUGACUCUGUGGCCCUUCAAGGUGUCUGUGAAACCAAGGCAAUGAGAAAGUAUGUGCGGGAGACAUCUGCAUGGGCACACCCCAAUAACCUGGAAAUAAGGGAAAUAUGAUUGCCUUCUGGCACUUAUACUGUGAAGUCAACACAAAAUGGGUCAUAGCAGAGUCCUGCAGAGCCGCCUUAAGGAAGUGGAAUGCCUUCCAGGUUUUGUCUGGGUGGCCAAAGGAACCAAGAGGAUUAUCUGUACUCUGAAAUCACACUUUUCCCAAAUAUCCCAUGGUAAGGACUUAUUCUGCAGUUACCUCCACUGUCUGCUGGCUUGUCUGUAAAAAGGAGGAGAAAUUGCAGAAAAGCAUGAACAGGCUGGAGGCAGCAGAGAGGAGUAGAAAUAACAGGGGCCUGAACAACGGAAGUUUUGGGUUCUCAGUCUGAUGAUAUGCUCACUGUCACCCCAAACUACCACAUCUUCGGGUCGUUGCUCCAUGUAGAGUGCUCCUCUCCCUGAAAGCGUAGACGAGAGACAUGGAGUAAAGUGUGGGCUCUGGAGCCACUGCCAGGACUGGAAGCCUCGUUCUACCCCUUUCUAGCUGUGUGAUCAUGGGAACAUUAGAAAACCGCUCCUUGCUCCUAUUCCCUAACCUGUAAAAGAUAACCAUAAUUAAACAUACCUUCCUGGUACGUUGUGAGGACUUAAUGCACAAAUUCAUAUAAAGUUCUUUGAAGAGUACCUGCAUUAUGACAAUGCUCAAAAAUGUUAGCAUUUAUUAUAAUUAGACCCCUCCUCCAUUCCAAAAUGCCCCUCAUUGCACGCUUAGCGAGCUCCUACUAAUCCUUCAAGUUUCUGCUUAAAUGUUUCCUCCUCUAAGAAGCCUUCCACAGCCAUCCCUUCCUCUCCCUAAACAGGGUUGAUACUUCCCCUUCUCUGAUCCUUCUCAUGGGAAUUUGUUUAUCCAUUCAGUCAAGAAAUAUUUAUAGAGCUGAGGCUGUGCUAGGCACUGUUAAUACAGAGUUGCCUAAGAGUUAGCCACUGUCCCCACAUUGCACACAGUCUAGGAAGACAUGACAAGCUCUGUAAUAAGGUAGCACUCAGCACAAAGGAGGUUUCCUGCUCAGAGGUCGGUCAUUUCUCAAACUGUAUAAAACCCAAGGGCAAUCUCUGAGACUGUAUUAGCUGUGUCUAGUUUUUCCUCUCUUUUCUUUUUCUCCACUUUGGUUCAUUCCCCAAACUUUCAUUUUACUUUCCACUCUCCCUUCCUUUUUUCUCUUACCCUUCUUUCCUGUCUCUUGGGUUUUAUUCUCUCCUUUUCUCUCACUGGAUCUGCACUGCAUGUGGAAGAAGGAGAGCGCCUGGGGCAGUCUUCCUAGAAGAGAUAGUACCCAAACUGGUCCUCAAGGCGGAGGGAGAUUUAGAUAAGGAACUGAGGAGUAAGGGGCGCAGAUGGAGCAGGAAGGAACAGGCAGAAGGAACAUCAAAUGUGAGGUGUCUGAGAAGAAGGCAUGAAGAAAAGCACGUGCAACGAUGGUAUUUACUGAAAAAUGCAUGAAUUUCAGGCAAGUCUGGGAUGUCCCAAGGUGAAGUGGGAUUGAUGAGAGAGGGGGUAAUUCGGGCAUUCCACAAUACGAUUGGAUUGUAUUCUCUAUGGGAUGGGUUCUAAAUUGAGAUUCUAAGGAAGAAGUUGACAUGAUUCUCUUUGCACGUUAGAAAGAUCACUGUGUGUAGGAUGGAUUGAAGGAGACUAGCUUGAUUCAGGCCAUGAAGUUAUGCUACUGAAACCAUCUGAGCAAGAGGUGCUAAUACGUCGAGGAUGUUGGCAAGAUGGUGCAGUGGUUAAGCAUGUAAGCUCUGCUUGUUCCCUGGGUCCUAAUCUGAGUUCUGCCAUUCACAGAUGCCAAGCGAAGAGGUGACUGUCAAUGUCUUACACUCCCCACCAAACUUCUUAACACUUGAAAAAUGGGCUUUUGUUUCAGGUGGUCAACUCCUUACCAUAAAGAAACAAAGAAUCAGAGAUCUGCACAAUAGUUUACCAUCUGAGUUCAUAGGAGCCUUGAGAUACUGUCACUACCCUACUCACGGAUGAGGAAAAUAACACUCAAGAGGCCAGAUUCACAACAAUGAGUAUUUCAAGUCUGUGUUGAAUGAUUCACUGUGCUUCACAUUGUUGACAAUGUAUUAGUCCUUCUAAGGGAACCGGCCACCCACAUCACUGACCAAUGAGAGAGAGGGACUGAACUGCUGUGAGUAAUACAACAGAUCUUUGCUCUACCAUCCAACCAAGAUUGAUCGAAUCAAGGAUGGGCACCUAACUCAAGGACAGAAAUUCAUCAACUACUUAGAAACCUUGGGCCUGAAGCAAAAAACAGAAGUGGGGUUUUUAUCAAAAAUUUACACAAUGAAAUUGUUGAAAAGUGCUUAGUUAGUGGUGGGGUCAGAAGCAGAAAGGAUGCCAAGAGCCAAGUUAAGAUGAAGACAAGCUAUUUGCAAGGAGAAGUUAUAAGGACGCAAAAAAUGUAAGUAGAGGACACUAGUCAAUAGAAUUACUGGGUUCACAGAGAGAAGCAGAAAUGCCAUUAUAAAGAGAAAGCAGGUGGCCCCUGGGAGUUAUAAGGAGGGUAACUGGCCCCUGAAGUUGCUAUGAUUUCCAAUGACUGCUAUUUUGGGAUAAUUCACUCUUAUUUUUAUAACUUGGGGUGUUUGAAGGAGAUCACUGUUCCUUGCAACUAAACAAGGUUGAUUAGGACUCUGUACUAUAAGAUGGAACAUUGGACACGGGAAAAACAAAUCACAGUGACAUUAACAAAGAUUUUUUGCAUUAAUGGUGGCUGGAAGCUCCUCCCCCAAUUACCUCUCACAAGGAAUAGAAUUGACAGCAGAGGCUGAAGUGAGCUAAGUACACAGGUGUGAUGAGGGGAAGCAGCCAGGAAAGACAGCCAUGUACAUAACUUGUGAGUUGCAACAACCUUUCAAACACUGCUUCCAGUGGUCCUAUGUGAUGAGAAUUAAUGUUCAAGAACAAGAUUCUACCAGAUCUUUACCUGGGAAAUGUACACCAGACUCUCUAUAAAGCAGAAAAUGAACAUAAAAAUGAUUUAAGCAAACAAGCUUUGGAGGGUAUCAUCCCAUCAGUAAUUCAGAAACACCAAACAUCCUAAAUGUCCACAGAACCCCCAAAUUCUGCUUUUCAAUGGAGUUUUACUGAAUGCACGUUAAGCUUGAAGCUGUGCCAAAAGAACAAACUGAAAUCACUCAGAGGGUGACAUUGUGGAAGGACAGAAGCAGACAUUCCAAAGGGACUCCGAUUCCCAAAGGCAUCGAUGCAUUAGGUUAUUAACCUCAGCUGAAUCAUUCAUAUGCCACAGUCCCUAUUCUAAGUUCUGUAAGGGGAAACCUUUCCGUUACAACUCAAUAUGUCUUUUACUUUUUUCUCCUUUCCAUUUACAGAUACUCACACCAGGGAAGAGUUAGUUGAAAAUGUCCUUGCUCCCCAGGCAUUUGCUAGGGAAAGAGGUGGGGGAGCAUUCGACAGCUGAGUGUUCGGCUAUAACUCAGAGACUGUCUGCGUGAAAUGUGGAUUGGUUACCUUGAGACUGGACCAGUCUCUAAACAGAAUUUCACUACAUUAAAAGAGCAAUGCAUUUGCCUGUGAAAGUCUAGACUAGAAAAUGACUCUCUGUGGCCAUGGCAUCAAAAAUACUAGAGAAAGAAAGGAAUAAAUGCUUUCUGAUGGAUUCAACACCUACAUGGCAAAUUUGCCAAAACCCUUUGUGUAACUUGAUCAUCAAGUUACAAUAAAAUCAGGAAAAGUAAUGAAAGAAAAAGCAUUCUUUUCCCAUAGUUUUUCCUCUAUUUUUCCAUAUAUAUUUUUUCAACAAUAUGUCUUUGCAGGUUCUGUUUUUAUACGUCUCUUUUUUAUGUACAUUUCCUUUAAGUAGUUCUAAGUACUUAAAUAUGUAGAUCCUAAAAUAAAACAAGGUCCGCAAAAUUGCAUUGCCACAUUCUCCACUAGAGUUGAGUUAAAGUUUAAUUAAAGUGAAUUACAAGCUUCCCAGUACUAGUUAUGUUGCUUUUCAUGGCAAAGUUCUUUUGGUACACACCUAAGUUUCAAAUAUACAGAGGUAAAAGCAUUCAGUAACCUGAUUCCAGGGAACAUCUCAUCAGGAAGAGAUCCACGCAGAAUCAUUUUGUCCACAUGAGCAGUGGGGGUAAGAUGGGGAAGUGGCAAUUAUCCUGCUUUAAGGGAAGUUUCAUUCACUAGAAAACAUUCUCCUCAUCAAGGAAUAAUGGAGGAAGGCCCAAAUAUUUCAGUGAUUCAACUUAAGAGGAGAAAACUCCCUUUGGGUGGAGAAAAACUAAGGGCUUUUAAUCCCCAAAUUUAUUUAAAGCUGAGAUAGCACCAGGGCUUAAAGUACACUGGAGUAGGGAAAAUAUGAGAACAUCAUUAGUGGAGAUAAUACUUUAUGAUUACCCUCAUUUUAUGCCCUUCUGACUUCUUCUAUUCUAUUAAGCUCUUUAAGAAGCAUGACAAUGAGGGGGGCAAACCCUCAAUAUCUAGUGGGGGCACACCCUCACUAUCUAGUUAGCACACAAACAAUUGCAGUAAUGGUAAUAAUAAUAACAGUAAGCUUAUUGAUUGAACUGACAGGCACUGAGCUAACUGUUCUACAUUUCAACCAUAUUCAAACCUCAGAAAAGUUCCACAAGAUAAGAAAGAUUACACCCCUUUUAAAGUUUUCAGUCUCAUUAUGACUUUACAUGAGUGUGAAGAGUAUAUGAAAUUGCUCACAUCAUCCCUAAUCUCAAAGAACAUAUAGUAUAAUAAGAAAAAGAUGUAUACAUAUAGGACAAUUAAAAAGUACAAUCAAGAAUAAAAUUCUGACACAUAAGACUUAAUUGGAGGACAAGAAAUAUGAAGAUGCUAUAGCUCUCCAUUAAUUCUUGAGUCUCCCAAACUCCAGCUCAGACUUCUUGGCAAGCGUGGGUCUGCACCCUGAUCAGCAGCACCGACCAACUAACUUAUCUUUUCCACAUCUCAUUAGAGAUAGUUAAUGAAUCGGAAGAUGCCUCUUCAGCAUCUUGUAUCAUUGCUUUCAGCAGCAUACACUAUCUGCAUUUCAUUAUACAUUUAUCAGAUGGUCGGUUUUAUUAUAUAUUAAUGUAUUUGAAGACCUCAAAUUCACCCUUUAAAAGUGAUCAUAUUUUUCCUUGCCAUGAGAUAGAUUAAUCAAAAGAAGAAUUGGUUUUACCUGAUGCUCUGAACGUCUCUUAUUUGGCUUUAAUGUUACUUAAUUGAUGCUCAAACAAAAAUACUUUAUACAUUUCAUUUCAGAGACUUUCAAACAUACAAUCUUGGAAUACUAAGAGCAUUACAGAUUUUCUAGCCCCCAAUUUUUAUUUUAUACAUUUGAAAUUGAUGACAGACUAAUAAAGGUCUAGAUCAUGAACCUAGGUCUCUUAAAUUACUGCUUUGUCCUCAAUUCAAUUCAAUCAAUAUUUUCUCAGAAUCUGUUAUAUGCUGGGCACUGUGCUAAGGGCUGAUAAUAUAGUGGUAAACAAGACACAGUCUAGUGGGAAAUAGAGACAUUUUUGUUAGUGUUUGUAUAUCAUUUAUCUAUACACAUUAUACAUAUUUAAGCUACUGUGUUGAUAAUAAGAUGGCAAUAUAGUCGUAAUAAUAAGGUCUCUCAUUUAAUGCAUGUCUCAGUGUGCCAGAUUCUGUGACAUUGAGUUUCUUAUUUUGCUUAAUUCUUGUAAUAACCAUGCAAAAUAUUUGUGACUGUCCCCAUUUUAUAUGUGAAGAAGUCAGGACUUGGCUCAAGCAAACUGCUCAUCAUCAGACAGCUAAUGGUUGGAAUGGAUGCAUAUCUAAUUCCAGAGUCUUAAUGCUGUCCACUGCAGUAUACUUCUGAGAUCUCUUUCUUAAUGCUAUAUUUCCAAACUUCUCAUGGAUAUUGAUAAAUGAAAAAAUAUACACUAGAUAUACGGUCAAAAUCAAAGACUUUCUUCAGCAAAUUAAAAAUUAUAACAAUAAAUAAAGAUUGCCUUUUGAGAUGUUCUGAUCACUUAGUCAAUUUUUGAAAGUGUAAGUGAUUUUAAAGUUGAGCUGGAGGAGUGAACAUGAAGUGAAUCUCAUGUUUUGCUUAAAGCAAAUACCAUCAUGUUAUGCAAAGAACGAGGACUUUGAAGUCACACAAACUUGGUUUUAAAUCUCAACUUUGUCUUUCUCUCAUUGUAUAGUCUGGGUGAUGCUUCUCAAAAUCUUGUACUGAACAUUUCCUCAUGCAUAAAAAUGUAGGUUAUGCCCCUUAUUCAAGAGGAUUGUGGUGUGAAUUGAAUGAGAUCAGGUAUGUAACGUGCCUAAUGCAAUGGCAGAUGUAGUGGGUAUUUAAUAAAUGCUCAUUCCCUGAAUGGGAUCAAUGCACAAAAUAAGGGACUAUUGAAGAUACUUUGCACUGGAAGGAAUGCUGUCAAAGGUGGUAGGAGAAAUAUCUUCUCAAUAACAAUCUUGUUCCCCAGAAGAACUAUGGGCAUAAGAGGAACAAGGUGUGGUAGAGCUAAAUUCCCUUUUGGAUGAAACCAUUUGCAUCCUUCUAACUAGGAAAGGAAAGGCCUAUUCUCCCUUUUAAAAGUAGCAGAAGAGGAGAUGGAGUAGUUUUAAACGUGACAGAGGAUCUUUCCCAGCAUCCUUGAAAUUAUCUGCCUAUAUGUCUCAUCUCCACCUCAUUCUCCAACAUAAGGCUGGCCUGAUACAGGUGUGGAAACAGCACAGGCUAUAUCCAGGCUACUUGGGGGCUGGAAAGAAGCCACAGCAAUAUCCAUGGUGCAGGAUGUCUUUUUGCAGAGGAUCUUCUCUCUUGGAAGCAAAGGUAAGUCCACAUUAGUAGAACAGAGGGUAGUUAUCUCACUCACUGCUCAUAGGCAAAUCAGCAUCCUCUGCUUCCAGAAUCCCAGCAUAUCUGUACUUCAAACACUUAGGCGGCUACAGAGCUGUUCUUUUACAAGAUGGGCAUUUACACUUAAAAACAAGGAAAGGAGAUAUAUGAAGGAUAAAUUGAGAUUCCCCUGGGUGUUCACACAGCAUCUCCUUACUUCAGGGUUUUCAUUCUCAUGGAAAAUUGGCAACAUUUUCAAGAGUGACCAUUUACCAAGGACGUUUUAUGAGUCAGACAUGUAUUAUUCCUGAUGCGUACAUCAAUCUGCAGAAAUAGACAUUAUUUUAGAUGAGAAAAUUGAAUCUCAAAGAAGGUAAAUAAACUGCUCGAGUAACAAAACUAAUAAAUGAGAGAGCUGAAUUUGGUACUCAAGUCUAUAUGAAGCCUAUGCCUAGUCAACCUAGAUUCCUCAUCAGGCUAGAAGUGAAGAUACUUGAUAGAUUCCACCUCCAGAGCCCAAUACACUUGAAGUGAAUUCUUGCAGAUUAAUUUCAUCACCUGUGAGAACAGUGAAUGCCAGACAAUGGAGAUGAGUUCAGCAGAAGCAAGAAGCUGAACCAUGAGUCCCACUCAUAUUACCGAAUGCUAAAUAUCAAGGCAUUUUUGAAUCACUAUCUAUUCCAGUAAUAACAGAGAUCCUCACAGGCAUAUUAAAACAGAAUUCACAGA
rnacentral:lncRNA from 1 species